AGUGUUUGGAAGGACCCAUUACAUAUUCGAAUACUUCAUUGGUAUCUCUGGAACCAUUCUUCUUGUUGUUUCCCUAUAAAUAGGUAGAACUCUUGUUCUCAUUCACAACAUCCUCGUCGAAUAAAAAAAAAAGAAGAAACAAUCAUCAGAUAAAGAUUAGAUCUUCCACAAAAAAAUAAGUUCGAUCGAAAUCAUGGGUAGAGGUUUUUUGAGAGUCUUGUUUGCUGCUCUUAUGUUAGUUUUGGUUAUGAUGUCCGCUGCACCGCAUACUGUUAAUGCCGGUGAGCCAAGUUGGGGUAAUAUCCCUGAGGAUGCCGACGGUCAAUGGGACGAAAAUGAUGGAUGAAACUAGUCACUGAAUACUAGUAUUGCAAAAGCGUGUCAAGUUUUUAAUUACAUAAAUAAUGAUUUGCAUAUAUUUGCAAGUGUGUGUGCUCUGUAAAUGGAGGUGAACUCUGCUCUGCAGCAGUUAUUGUGGUCUUCUUAUAGACGACCUUGGGCUCAUUUGUCUGCUUGAGUCACAGUUAAAUUUAAUAUAAUUCUGUGUGUGUUUGUGCGUGAAUAAA